rnacentral:lncRNA from 1 species
UUCAUUAAAAAAAAAAAACUAUUGUCAUGCAUUUACUCAAAACCGAUAAUAAAAUCAUUAAUCAUACACACUUUUAAUAUAAGUAUCAACACGUAGAUAAAAAUCUAUUUUCUAGAAAAUCAUUAAAUCGGAGCAUUAAAUACUUCUUUAUCAAACAUGAUGUACUAUAUCGUAAAAUCAUAAUAUAUUAUGAAAAUAGAUUUUGUAGAUUCCACUGACAGUGACGAUACUUUAGACUCGGCAAUCAUCCACGCUCGCGACUGGUUUUCGCUCGUGGAUCCUCCUAAAUCAAGAAAAUGACAUAAUUAUUUUCCGUAAAUAUGAUUUAGGACUAAAUUUAUGCAAUAAACUUGAAAUGAACAUCUAUCCACAAUUUAUAACUCCCACAUCGAUAAAAUUAUCAAAAUACACUUGCAUCCAUAAAUCAUUAAAAUACUUCGAAAUCUAAAUCACUAAAUUACCGUCGGAAUCGUAAUUACAACCAAUCCUCAAUUUCAGAAAUUACUAAAAUCUCGACAGAAUUGUAAAUUACAAAAUUGCCCUCAAAAUGUGAAAUUAUCGAAUUGCCUUACCGAUCAACGGUGACUCGAAUUCAACCAACAAUGACCGGGAAGCUCGGGUUAGACACUUUUGACCGAGCUAAGUUUAAUGGUAACAAUGUGAGCUCCCACAUGCGGCGACGGUGCCAGCAUCAAUCUCGAUAGCCGUGAAACUUCAACAGCUGAACGGUGGCAAACCGGUGAUUGUGGAUGGUUGGAAAUGAAAGGUGGUGAUGUGAGGAGUAAAACCCGGCUGGUGGAGUGGCCUAAUUCCAAUGAAAUCAGCAGCAAUGAUGAUGUGUUUUGGCCGCGACUUUUAGUGCUGGAAACGGCAGCGUUCCGGUCAAUUUUUUGUGACAGUGACGGCAGGGAGUGAUGGCCGGCUUAAGAGCUUUCAUUUGUUACCUUGCAUGGCCGAUGAGGUGGCCGGAAAUCGGAGAUAUGGCCGGGUCAAUUUGGCGGGUUCGGGUUGAGUUUUUGGGUCGAUUUGACAACUUCUUCUCUCUCUUUGUGCUCCAAACCUUUUAUUUAUUUAUUUUUUUUCUGUAACUGCCCUUUUUUUUUCACAUAUGUGACAUAUAACGUCAUGAAUAAUUAAACACAUUAAUUAUUUACUUUUGUUACAUGUAUAAGAAAAUUUUUCUCCUCCUUCCCAUAUUUUAAAACAAAUAGAUAACAUAUGAAUACUAAAGAGUUAUGUUCCAAGUACAACAACCAAAAUGGUCAUUUUCAUUUUUUCCGAUGAAGCAUUUCAUCCCGUAGAAAUAGAAAAAUUUAAUAAAAGCAUAUCAUCCGGUGAGCAUUACUACUUUUAAGAUUAUUAGAUUAUUUGUACAUUAGUACCCAUUAAACAAUACAACACAAUUGUGUAAAGAUAAUAAUUUAUAGAGUAAUGAUCUCAUAGGCAAUAGUGCUCACCUUAUGGUCAGCGACAAUAUCACGUGAUGAUGUCUAAUUAAUCUACACUUUUGACAUUAUUUAAAGGAAGCCACAAAAUUCUACCUUAUGUCCAAGUACAUACUCCCAUAUGGUAGACAUUGGUACUCAUUAGAUCAUAUUUUUAAUUUAUAAGACAUUAAAUUGACACUCUCACACAAAAUAUAAUAUAGAAACAAUAUUUCAAUUUCAUAUAUUGAAUAGAUUAGAAUAAGCAUAAGAGAUAUACCAAAAUGUUCUCGAUGAUAAUUUGGCAAAAGGAUGCCUACAGAGUCCUACACUUCCAACAUUUGGGAAAAUGGUCACAAAGACGCAUUAGUUUUCAAAAAGGAACACUAAGAUCCCAUUUUAACUAUAAUAUCCUUUGAUUUAGUAAUUAGAAAUUUGACUUUAAAAUUUUUUAAUUAAUAUCGAAUUGCCUUACCGAUCAACGGUGACUCGAAUUCAACCAACAAUGACCGGGAAGCUCGGGUUAGACACUUUUGACCGAGCUAAGUUUAAUGGUAACAAUGUGAGCUCCCACAUGCGGCGACGGUGCCAGCAUCAAUCUCGAUAGCCGUGAAACUUCAACAGCUGAACGGUGGCAAACCGGUGAUUGUGGAUGGUUGGAAAUGAAAGGUGGUGAUGUGAGGAGUAAAACCCGGCUGGUGGAGUGGCCUAAUUCCAAUGAAAUCAGCAGCAAUGAUGAUGUGUUUUGGCCGCGACUUUUAGUGCUGGAAACGGCAGCGUUCCGGUCAAUUUUUUGUGACAGUGACGGCAGGGAGUGAUGGCCGGCUUAAGAGCUUUCAUUUGUUACCUUGCAUGGCCGAUGAGGUGGCCGGAAAUCGGAGAUAUGGCCGGGUCAAUUUGGCGGGUUCGGGUUGAGUUUUUGGGUCGAUUUGACAACUUCUUCUCUCUCUUUGUGCUCCAAACCUUUUAUUUAUUUAUUUUUUUUCUGUAACUGCCCUUUUUUUUUCACAUAUGUGACAUAUAACGUCAUGAAUAAUUAAACACAUUAAUUAUUUACUUUUGUUACAUGUAUAAGAAAAUUUUUCUCCUCCUUCCCAUAUUUUAAAACAAAUAGAUAACAUAUGAAUACUAAAGAGUUAUGUUCCAAGUACAACAACCAAAAUGGUCAUUUUCAUUUUUUCCGAUGAAGCAUUUCAUCCCGUAGAAAUAGAAAAAUUUAAUAAAAGCAUAUCAUCCGGUGAGCAUUACUACUUUUAAGAUUAUUAGAUUAUUUGUACAUUAGUACCCAUUAAACAAUACAACACAAUUGUGUAAAGAUAAUAAUUUAUAGAGUAAUGAUCUCAUAGGCAAUAGUGCUCACCUUAUGGUCAGCGACAAUAUCACGUGAUGAUGUCUAAUUAAUCUACACUUUUGACAUUAUUUAAAGGAAGCCACAAAAUUCUACCUUAUGUCCAAGUACAUACUCCCAUAUGGUAGACAUUGGUACUCAUUAGAUCAUAUUUUUAAUUUAUAAGACAUUAAAUUGACACUCUCACACAAAAUAUAAUAUAGAAACAAUAUUUCAAUUUCAUAUAUUGAAUAGAUUAGAAUAAGCAUAAGAGAUAUACCAAAAUGUUCUCGAUGAUAAUUUGGCAAAAGGAUGCCUACAGAGUCCUACACUUCCAACAUUUGGGAAAAUGGUCACAAAGACGCAUUAGUUUUCAAAAAGGAACACUAAGAUCCCAUUUUAACUAUAAUAUCCUUUGAUUUAGUAAUUAGAAAUUUGACUUUAAAAUUUUUUAAUUAAUACAAGUUUAAUAUAAAUAAUAUAAUCUUACAAGUUUAAUAUAAAUAAUAUAAUCUUACAAGUUUAAUAUAAAUAAUAUAAUCUAUGUAGUAGACUAAUAAUAUUAAAUCAUUUUAGCAUUUAAAAUAAUACUAAAAUAUAAAUUAUUGCAUUUUUUAAUAAUAUAUUUGUUUCUAUUAUAAAGAUUUUUUAAAAUUUUUUUAGGUUAAAUAGAUUUUACAAUUAACAAAAUAUAUCCCUAUUAAUAAUAUUAAAAUUAUUAUUUUUACAUAAUAUUCAAAAUAAUUUUAAUUUUAAUUUAUUUAUUGUAAUAUUAUGUUUCUAUUUAUUAUUAGAAAUUACUUUAAUUAUAAUAAAAUAGGUCUAAUAGAUUGUAAAAUAUAAAAAUAUUUUUUAAAUAUUAAAAUUAUUUUAAAAUGUAGAUAUUAUUACAUUUAUUUUAAUGUCAUAUUUCUACUUAUUAUAAAAUUUUGAGAUUAAUUAUUUUGGAUUUAUAGAGUUAAAUGAUAUUAUGGUCAAAAGAAGGUCAUGGUGUCCCUUAUUAAAAACUUGGGAAUCUUUUUAAUUAUUUUUUCGAAUCUUGGGAGUGUAGGUAUUCUUUUCCCUAUAAAUUUUAAAAUACAAAGAAAGAGUAAUACUAAUAAAAAAACUUAUUUUAACAAUAACUUAAAAAAUUUCCUGAAAAUUUUGAUCUCCAUGCCCCUUUACAAGACAUGUAGCAUGCACAUAUGAGUCAAAAUGCACGUUAACGGUGAAGCUACGCCUAUAUAAAUGGCCAAUAAUUGGCAAUGUAAUCUUGAUAUGGUACCUUUUUUUCUUUGUGAAAAAUAUGAAAACUUCGAGGUCAAGCCACUCUCCAAAAUUCAUAUCCAUUUUCGUUGUUAAUCGUCAUCUCUUAUAGUUUGCUUGAAUUACUUCCUGUGUUAAUUUAUGUUCUCAGUCAUACGAAGAAGCAAAAUAUCAAGAAGUUACAAAUAAUAAAAUUCAGCUUAUUAGUAAAGUAACUAAUUUGUCUAACAAGUGAUCGCAUUAAAAAGUAAAUUAAGAGAAAUUCGAACAACACUUGCAACCCUAAGGGCCUAUUUGGGAUUGUUUUUAACAAGCUCAAAAGUGAUUUUAAAAAGUUAAAAAUUAAUUUUAGUACUUGGUAAAUUUUCUUAGAAAUCACUUUAGAAAAAAUUACUCCAUCCUAAAAUAGAUUUUAAAAAGUAGGGUAACUUUUCAAAAUCUGAUUUUGAAAUCAGUUUUAUUCUUAAUACUAUUCCAUAAAUAUACCUAUAUAGAUUAUAAAAAUCUAAAAUUAUUCUUAUUAAUUUGGAAAUAAAAUCUUUAACUUUAAAGAAAUUAUUACUAUCAAUUAUAUAAGAUAACAAAAUAAAAAAUAAAAUUAAUAACAUAAAAUAUUUAUUAUAUAUAUAUAUAUGUUUAUAGAUAUGAGAAUAAACUUUAUUUAACAUUAUGUCUAAUUUAGUUUGUUAGUUCUUACAGUAGCUUAACAAUAAAAUUUACUAAACUUAUAUGAUUGCUUUUAAAACUUACAACACUUUUAAAAAUAAAAUUUACUAAAUGGUUAAAUGAUUCUCUUCGUAGCAGAUUAUUUUUUAUUCCAUAGCUAACAUCAAUUAUUUUUAAAAGUUAUAUCAUUACAAAACUGGCAUAAAGUAAUUUUAAACCUCCAUAUCUCUAUACUAAAAAUAAUACAAAAUAAAAAUUGAAUGAAAGUUGUAUGAGAAUUAAACUAAGUACUCACCGUAUAACUCACCGUAUAGUGAGAGAUAGAAGGAGAUAUAUGAAUUUUCUUUUCCAUUAAGAGUAAAACCCUCGAAAUUAUUUGUUUAAUUAGUUAAAAAAAUUACAUGAAUAUGAUGAUAUUUAAUAAGAAGAUUGUUAUUUUCUCCCACUAAAAUUGAUAUAUACUACUGAUCCCUUACUGUUUUCAAAAUAUGCAAAACCUUUUUCGCACCAUAAUUUUAUAGUAUUACCUUUUUUAUUAUAUUUUUAUUUAGAUUUAUUAUAAAUUAAAUAAAUAUUAUAAAUCCUAGUUAAAAUAAAAAAUUUUAAAUAAUAAAAAUAAGAAAUAUAGGUUUUUGUAUGAAUAAAAUAUUAAUAAUAUUAUUUUUCUUGUACUUAUGUUAUUUUUAAAUCUUUUUAUAACUAAUAUAUAUUUUGUAUUUCCAUAUCAAAUAUCAAGUAGAUAAUUCAUUUACCCCUCUUUUCUUUUAAAUUUUUAGUGUUAGGAGGUUAUUAAAUAUUAUGAUAACAGUGGGGAAAUAAGUGAUGAGGAGAAAAUCUAGCAAUCUCUCUAUUUUAUAUGAGUUGCAUGUUUUGAAAGAAAAGCUUACCUUACCGAUAGUGCAAGAGCUGUAGAGUGUUGACUCUUGGAUUAAAACAUGAGCUCCAAAAACUUUGGAAGUGACGAAAACCUAGGUCUAGGGUUUGAGAAUUCUAAUCUGCCAACGUUGCAAGAGGACAAGACAACUAAGAAGGCCCGGUUUUAGGGCUGAAGGAACCGAUGCUGAUAAUCCUUAUAAACCCUCUUGGAGAGAUAAGGAGAUUAAGGCAGUCAUGGUGAUGGCAAGUCAGACGGAGAGUGUAGAGGAAGAUUGGGAUAUUGAAGAUGAAGAUGUGGUUGAGAGAAUAGAGGAGGGUAUCCCUGCAAUAUACUUCUCCAAAAGGGUGCAAGAGAAACUGCAACAGCCAUGGCGUUACUCUGUAAUAGUUAAAUUGUUGGGACGACAGAUUGGCUAUCGGGUUUUAUGCAAUAGGUCAGAGGUCCUAUGGCGGUCGAUGGUAGCUUGCCGUACAUCCGCCUUGGCCGUACAGCAGAUAAAUCCUAGUUAAAAUAAAAAAUUUUAAAUAAUAAAAAUAAGAAAUAUAGGUUUUUGUAUGAAUAAAAUAUUAAUAAUAUUAUUUUUCUUGUACUUAUGUUAUUUUUAAAUCUUUUUAUAACUAAUAUAUAUUUUGUAUUUCCAUAUCAAAUAUCAAGUAGAUAAUUCAUUUACCCCUCUUUUCUUUUAAAUUUUUAGUGUUAGGAGGUUAUUAAAUAUUAUGAUAACAGUGGGGAAAUAAGUGAUGAGGAGAAAAUCUAGCAAUCUCUCUAUUUUAUAUGAGUUGCAUGUUUUGAAAGAAAAGCUUACCUUACCGAUAGUGCAAGAGCUGUAGAGUGUUGACUCUUGGAUUAAAACAUGAGCUCCAAAAACUUUGGAAGUGACGAAAACCUAGGUCUAGGGUUUGAGAAUUCUAAUCUGCCAACGUUGCAAGAGGACAAGACAACUAAGAAGGCCCGGUUUUAGGGCUGAAGGAACCGAUGCUGAUAAUCCUUAUAAACCCUCUUGGAGAGAUAAGGAGAUUAAGGCAGUCAUGGUGAUGGCAAGUCAGACGGAGAGUGUAGAGGAAGAUUGGGAUAUUGAAGAUGAAGAUGUGGUUGAGAGAAUAGAGGAGGGUAUCCCUGCAAUAUACUUCUCCAAAAGGGUGCAAGAGAAACUGCAACAGCCAUGGCGUUACUCUGUAAUAGUUAAAUUGUUGGGACGACAGAUUGGCUAUCGGGUUUUAUGCAAUAGGUCAGAGGUCCUAUGGCGGUCGAUGGUAGCUGGUUUCUCCAUCAUUGAUCUAGAAAAUAAUUACUUUUUGGUCAAGUUCCAAACUACAGUUGAUGCUGAACGUGCCCUAACCGAAGGACCAUGGACUGUUAUGGGUAGAAACCUUUUUGUUCAACCUUGGACGCCGAAUUUUGAUUGCUUCUCUAAUGAACUUACUUCGACUGUGGUAUGGGUACGAUUGCUAGGCAUGACGAUCCAAUAUUAUGAAAAACGUAGCUUGCGACGACUUGGCAACAAAAUUGGAGAAGUUAUUAAAAUUGACUAUAAUACAGAGGACUCUAAAAGAGGGAAAUUUGCAAGGCUAGCAGUAAGGGUUUCUCUUGUGAAACCUUUAGUCUCGUAAAUUAAGGUGAAUGGGUAAAUCCAAUUGGUGGAGUAUGAGGGGCUUCCAAUGAUAUGUUUCUCCUGUGGAAAAUAUAGACAUGUUAUAGAGGAUUGUGGGGAAAAGAAUAUGGUGGAGACUGGUACAGUUAAUCUAGUGGAGAAUAAUGCACCAGUGGUGGCCAACGAGAAGAAUAAUAGAGUAGUUGAAAUGGGAGCGAAGAAGUUUGGUCGUUGGAUGGUUGUAUCACGCAAAAGCAAACCAAGAAAUUAUGCUGGCAAGAAUUUUUCUCAUGGCACAGUCGAGGAGCAGCCGAUUGUGCAUCAAAGUAAAUCUCGCUUUGACGUGCUUGCAUUGCAAGAUUCAGGGGACAAUGAACACCAGCAUGUGGCUACUGAAACUCAAGAAAAAGAGACCAGCCAUGCAGACCCAAAAUAGUCACGUAAACACUAUGCCUUGCAACCCCAUGCACCCAAAUUCAAACGUAAACACUCCGCAAGAAUCUUAUCAAAGAUUGCCAACAAGGGCAAGUCUUCUACUGCAGCCAAAGAAACCAGAAACAAUAAGAUAACCAUGCACCCUAAAUUCGACACACAAAACCAUGUGGCGAAUCCCAAUGUGGCUACAACGUCAACCAUGCCACUCGAAACCCAACCCAACACCAUGAUAAAUCCUUAUCAUGUACCUACAACCCUUGACCCCCUAAAGCAUAUGACUAUUGUCUUCCAUAACCCAAGGAAUAAGCCUAUAGGUACCCAGGAGAUGGAUGGUGCCAAUCUACAUCAUUCGAGUCUGGGGACCAAGGGUCAACCAUUACCUCAUUCGGGAGAUCCUCCAGAUUUACACGGUGGUGAUACGGAUCUUAAAAAGGAGGCUGAUCCGACUUAUGUAGAGGAUGAAGAUACAACGGAUGGUGAGGACUAUUUUGUGGAGGAUACGCCAAUGAAUAAGGAGGAUACGAUCCAUGGAUCCAGCCAGUAAGGAAAGAUCUACCCCUUUUGUAUUUUCUUAUGAUUAUGUCGAUUUCAGUCAUGUUUUGGAAUGUUCAAGGGGCGGGGGCCUCAGAUUUAAGACUUUCUUUUGAUGCAAUUAUUCAAUGCUAUAACCCGUCUAUUGUGGUGAUGCUUGAGCCAAGAAUUAGUGGCCAAAAAGCUGACAAUUUCAUUCGGGGCUGUGGUUUUGAGAGAUCCCACAGGAUCGAGGCGGUGGGUUUUUCUGGAGGAAUUUGGAUUCUAUGGAGGGACUUUAUUACAGUAGAAAUAGUUUUAAAUCAUAAGCAGUUUGUUCACUUUAAGAUUAUAUCUAGCAAUGGUUUGGAGAGUUGGGUGACUGCAGUGUAUGCUAGCCAUAUUCCAACAGUCCGGUGAGAAUUAUGGCAUCACCUUGCAAACAUUGCUUCUCAAAUGACGGACCCGUGGUUGGUGGGCUGAGAUUUCAAUGUUAUCUUAUACGCACAUGAGAAGAAAUGGGGCUCUAACCGAACAAGUGGCAUUUGUAAUUUAUUUAAUCAUUAGUUUCAUUCUUAUAAGAUGAUUAAUCUAAAAUUUUCAGGCCCUCGUUUCACUUGGUCUAGGGGAAACCUUUCUAAACGCCUAGACAGAGUGAUUUGUAAUGAUGAAUGGCUAAUCAAACAUGCAAAUAGUAGUGUCAUGCAUCUUCCAAAAAUUAAUUCCGAUCAUCGGCCUAUUCUAGUCAAAUUCCAGAACGUGGAUUCAAGGAAUGGGGGCCCGAGGCUGUUCCGGUUUUUGGCUGCAUGGCUGAUGGAUGAGAGGUUUGGGAGUUUUUUGAAUGGCAGCUGGAAGAAGGGAGCUAAUUUUCUCGAUGCAGUGGCUGACUUUACUAAACAAACAAUGAGAUGAAACAAGGAAAUUUUUGGAAAUAUUAUCUAUCGAAAGCAAAAUUUGUUGGCUAGAAUAAGUGGGAUCCAAUGAAUUUUGGAAACUAAGCCUAAUCAUAGCCUUAUUAGACUUGAAGUUAAACUUUAGAAGGAGCUCGAAGAGGUUCUCACUCAAAAAGAGUUACUGUGGCUUCAGAAAUCCAGGAGAGAUUGGACUUUGUAUGGUGACCGCAACAUUACCUAUUUCCAUAAAAAAAACUCUAACCAGGCGUCGUCAGAAUCAGAUUAUUGCGAUUCAAAAUGAGACAUGUCAAUGGAUAUACGACGUCGAGAUCAUUAAGCAGCUUGCAGGAAGAUUCUUUUCGAAAUUAUACACUCCUGAACAAGGGGUGAAUAGCCCGUAUACUGUCAGGGGGUGUUUCCCUAUGAUCUCUGAUGAUAUUUGCUUAAGUUUGAUGUCUACUGUAACAAAUAAGGAAGUUAGACGAACUAUUUUCAGGAUGAGUCCCUUCAAUGCCCCCGAAGUUGAUGGAUUUCAUGCUGGUUUUUACUUAGCGCAAUGGAGUACAAUUGGUAUAUCGUUGUGCUCUUUCAUUAAGAAUAUUUUUAAUUCUAAUCAUAUCACUGCAGAGAUCAACAGAACCUUACUGGUCCUUAUCCCUAAAGUUGAUCAUCCAACAAGCCUUAAGAUGUUUCGGCCGAUCAGCCUUUGCACAAUUUCGUAUAAGAUGGUGAUGAAAAUUAUUGCAAACAAGCUACAGGCUCUUCUUCCAUAUCUCAUUGGACCCCAACAAACCAGUUUUGUAUCGGGUCGACAUAUUACAGAGAAUAUUGUUAUUGCUCAAGAAGUGAUUCAUACAAUGAAAAAAAAAGUGGGGGUUAAAAGAAUAAUGGCGGUUAAAGUUGAUUUGGAAAAGGCAUAUGACAGGCUGAGUUGGUGCUUUAUUCAGGAAACUUUAAAGGAAGUUGGGCUACCGGAGUGAUUUAUUCAUCUCAUAAUGAAGUGCUUGUCCACAGCCCAAAUGAAUGUUUUGUGGAACAGAGCAAUGACUGAAGAUUUUCGGACAAGGAGAGGAAUUAGACAAGGAGACCCUAUUUCACCUUAUAUUGUUGUGCUUUGUAUUGAAAGAUUAAGCCAUGGUAUUAUUCAGGCGAUUAAUCAAGGUAGAUGGAAGCCCAUUCGGCUGACUAGAAUUGGCACCCCGCUAAGUCAUUUGUUUUUUACGGAUGACCUGCUUCUCUUCUUGUAAGCAAAUUACGCCCAAGUUGAAGUGUUGAAUGGCGUGUUGGAGAAUUUCUGCAGGAGCUUGGCACUAAAGUGAGUAAACAGAAAACCCAAAUUUUCUUCUCCAAAAAUGUCGCGGUCACUUUAGCUAGUAGAAUUGGCAAGGCUUUAGGCUUCUCGAUUACAAAUAAUUUGGAAAGAUAUCUUGGCAUGCCUCUUUUACGUGAUCGGGUUUCUAAGAAAACGUAUCAGAGUACCAUUGACAAAAUUGAUCAGAGGCUAUCAGGAUGGGCAACCAAGCACUUGUCUUUGGCAGGGCGAAUUACUCUUGCUCAAUCGGUGCUUCAGGCGAUUCCGAUUUAUGCUAUGCAGACCACGUAUCUCCCGUCUAGUGUCAGAGUUAAAAUUGAUCAACUUUGUAGAAGAUUCAUAUGGAGUGGGGCUGGACCUCAACGUAAGCUAAGCCUGGUUAGCUAGAACAACAUUUGUAGACCCAAAAGUAAUGGAGGGCUUGGCUUCAAGGACAUGGAAAUUAUGAAAAAAGCCUUAUUAAUGAAAGUGGCUUGGGAUUUAUUCAUAAAUCCUAACAAGCUAUGCUCCCAUGUUUUAAUAUCUAAAUAUGUUGCGACUAAUGAUAUGCUUAUUACUGAUGUUCCAACUAAAAAUGGUUCCUAUUUAUGGUGUUCUAUGGGUAAGAUUUGGAAAGAUUUCCAAAAGGGUUUGCGUUGGAGUAUUGGAAAUGGCCAAAGGGUGAAGUUUUGGGAUGAUAUUUGGGUUACUAAUGGUGAUACCUUAAUAAACUAUACAGUGGCUUCAAUUCCUGAUAGCAUGCGAAAUAUGUCGGUGGCGGAAUGUGUUGAUCAAAAUGGGAAUUGGUUGUGGAACAAAUUCAGUUCUUUGUUGAAUAACCAUGUUGUUUUAAGGAUUGCUUCCAUGGCUUCUCCGUCGGCAAUGAGAGGUGAUGAUAGGGUGUAUUGGGGUGCUUCAAAUACGGGAAUUUUUACAGUCCAAUCAGCUUAUCAUGUGCUUACAAAUCCUUCUCCCGUUGAAGACAGUCAAGACUGGCAGAAUUUAUGGCAAUGGAAAGGGCCUCAAAGCGUAAGAAUUUUUUUAUGGUUAUUAUGCCAUGAUCGAUUGACGACGGGAUAUGAGCUUGCUAGAAGGCAUCUGGACAUUGAUCCAUUAUGUGAGAGGUGCCAUGCAGAAGUUGAGAGUUCUUUGCAUGCAAUCCGGGACUGUGCAUACUCGAAAAGUGUGUAGAGGAAGCUUGUUCUCGUGCCUAGACAACAUGACGUUUUUAGUUAUCCUCUUCAGCAAUAGCUCAUGACGAAUCUUAGGAGAAGGUCCUGUGAUAUGGGGAGUUUAUAUUGGCAGGUUAUGUUUGGUGUUGCUACUUGGAGAAUUUGGUUUUGGAGGAAUCAGGUGAUGUUUAACAAUAAGAGAUGGAAUGGUGAUUUGAUCGUUCGAGAUAUUAAGGCAAGGGCUGAGAAUAUUUGUUCUACCCUCUCAAGCAUAGUCUAUAAAAGAAAUUCAAAGAUUCAGAAAUGGAUUAGUUGGGCUCCUCCACCAUGGCCUUUUUUGUGUUUAAAUACGAAUGGUGCAAGAAAAGGAAAUGGAGAUGCGGGUGCAGGCGGUCUGUUACGAGACUAUCAUGGUAGAUUCAUGCAUGGAUUCAGCGUAAAUCUGGGAGUGUGUUCGGUUAUAAAGGCUGAAGUUUGGGGCAUUUUGCAUGGGUUAAGAAUGGUAUGGGACCUUGGCUAUAGACGUAUCCAAGUUGGAAUAGAUAACUGUAGUGUGGUGCAGCUUCUAAAGGAGAAUAAUGCUAAUGUCAAUGAACUUUCGACUAUAAUCGAGAUGAUUAAGGAGCUCAUGAGGAGGGAUUGGAGUAUUCAAAUUGAUCACAUUUACCGCGAACCAAAUUCGGCGGCUGAUUUCCUUGCUACGCAUGCUUUGAGAUUGCCUGUUGGAGUGCAUUUUUUUAAUUCUGUCCCUUUAGGUUUGAGUCCUAUUUUGUAUUCGGAUAUGUAUGGGGUGGCACAACCCCAUUUUGUGCCCUCUAGCUCUUCUCUUUUAGAGCCCUCUUUUUAUCAAAAAAAGAAAAAGAAAAGCUUACCGGAAUUGAAGAGAAAUUUGGAUUUAAUUGAGCUCGUUGAAAGCAGAGAAAGAAAUUAUCCUCUUUGAAAGUGAGAGAAGCAAUGGCUACAUGAAAUAAGGAGAAAAAAAAAAGAAAAUUCACUCAGUCGACUGGUAUACACCAUGCAUAAAGAUUAAGUGUAGAGAUAAAUUUUUUGUGAGUAUUGAAUCAAUGAUUAUAAUGUAAAAGAAAUAAAAAGAUAUUAUACAUAAAUUAAUCCUUCUUAUUUGGCAACUAAACAUGGACCCAAUUUUAAAUUGCAAUUAAUCCAGACGUAAACUGUUGUGAAAAUUUUAAUAUACUCGCAAGCGCACGAAUCUAGAAAUAGAAUGGUGGUAACGAGGUCGAUCCCACAGGGAUUGUUAUAAAUUAAAAAGUCUAAUUUAAAUCUAAAAUUAAUAUUAAUUCUAACCUAGUUGAGCAAAUUGAGUUUUUAAGAAAAUUAAACCAAUUAAACUAAGGAAGCAAUUAAAAUAAAGGAGAAUUCAAUAAGAUAAGAAUUACCAAGGUUUCAGAAUCCACCACUAUUCAACUAGUAAUUAUCUAAUUAUUAAUUAAUCCCCAAUUUUAGAGUGACAACUCGAAAUCAAUCUAUGUCAUCUCAUGGAUAUAACAAUUAAGCCCAAAUAAUUAAAUCUAAUGUAAGUUCUUUUUCUGCUUAAACAGUCAUUUACUCUAUCUAAAAUUCUCAACUCAGGCUAUGUCAAUAUCAAAUUUCAAGUCAAAAUUACAAAAGAAUUGAUAUUAGUGCUCAGGGUUUAAAAAAUCUCAAUCAAGAGGAACUAACACAAGAAUCAAGUAUAAACUAAGACAAUAUUCAACCCUUUUUAAGAACCAUAUUCAUUGUCAAUCAAAUUCUUAUCAUUGGCUUUUCACAUAAAAACAAAAAAACAACAAUUUUUUUUUUUUGAAUUUUUGAAUUUUUUGAAUUUUUUUUUUUUGGUUUUUUUUUUUAACAAACAAAGCACACACUAUCUGCUGUACCGUACAUCCGCCUUGGCCGUACAGCAGAUCGAAUAUUAAUCCUAACAAUCAAUAAUGCAUGACAGAAUUGAUGAAAAGAUUUUAUUAACAUCCAAUUAAUCAUGUGAAAUAAAAACCAUAAUCAUCAAAGAACAUAUAUAGGGAAUUAAUUAAAUAAAAAGAUAUAAUUAUUUCAUUGAAUAGGGUUUCAUCCUUAACCUCAGUAUAAGAAAAUUAGUUAGACAUACUUGAAUUGGGAGCAACAAAAUAAAUAAAUUCAGCCAUGGGGAAGCCGAAUUGCUGCAGAUUUUCUUCUCUGUCUUGAAUCCUUGCGUCUGCAGUGCAGUUCUCCCUUCUGGCGGCUCUCUCUUCUUCUUUCCGUCCAGCCACUCCCUCCAAAAGCAAAAACUCUCUUUUAUAAUAUUUAAAAUGGACCCCACCUCUUAAAUCCUAAAGCCAAAAGGCUUGGCCUUUUACUUGAUUUGCUCUCACACGUGAUCACUCUUAGAAUUGCUUUAGGAUUCCUUUUGUAAUUAUGAAAGCCAAGUGUGGGUCCCUUUAAAUUGCUUCCAAAUAUUAGAAUGCCAUGCAUUUG